rnacentral:rRNA from 1 species
GUGGGGAAUAUUGGACAAUGGGCGCAAGCCUGAUCCAGCAAUGCCGCGUGCAGGAAGAAGGCCUUCGGGUUGUAAACUGCUUUUGUACGGAACGAAACGGUCCUGGUUAAUACCCGGGGCUAAUGACGGUACCGUAAGAAUAAGCACCGGCUAACUACGUGCCAGCAGCCGCGGUAAUACGUAGGGUGCAAGCGUUAAUCGGAAUUACUGGGCGUAAAGCGUGCGCAGGCGGUGCUGUAAGACAGGCGUGAAAUCCCCGGGCUUAACCUGGGAAUUGCGCUUGUGACUGCAGUGCUGGAGUGCGGCAGAGGGGGAUGGAAUUCCGCGUGUAGCAGUGAAAUGCGUAGAUAUGCGGAGGAACACCGAUGGCGAAGGCAAUCCCCUGGGCCUGCACUGACGCUCAUGCACGAAAGCGUGGGGAGCAAACAGGAUUAGAAACCCCUGUAGUCC